rnacentral:misc_RNA from 1 species
UCCUGCUAGUCUAUUCCAUUUUAUGGCAGCUACCCCGUUACCCUUUUUUUCCUAUUUCUCCAUUCCCUGAUUAAGAUUUCUUCCAGAUUUUGAUUGUUUUGCUUAUUAAAGUGGCCGAUCAAGGACCAACUUGAUCUCUCACCUACUUUCUCCAUUUUCACUCAUCACUAUCCUCCCUCUCUUUUCAAUCUGGGUGGUGUAUUUCUUUUCAAUUUAGAUCUGUGAAUUGUUGUUAGUGAUUUUUUUUUCGGGUUUCUUUUUAUCACUUUCGAUUGGAAAAAUGGCAG